CUCUUUUAAACGUGUUUGCAGAGAGAGCUGCUGAUUUUACAGACCUUGUGAUUUUUAAGCAGGCUCACAGUCUCUCCUUUGAAUCCUUUAUCAUUUUUGAAUGCUCAUCUGAUCACAUUAUUAAUCUCCCUGAAUGUACUGCUCAUCAUUUCACUCAGUAUUUGUAUUUAUCAUAUUCUGAGAAAGCCUUCGCCAGAACCAGAGAAUACUGAGUGGCAGGGAGUGUGGAGAGGCUUGGGAGUCUUCAGAGAGAUGGACAUCCUCAAUAUAAUGGAACUUUACUCCUGAACACCUGAAAGACUCUGAGAGCUUAAACAGAUAUUUGAGACAGGAAUGCUGUGGCUCAGGCAGGUCUGAGGAGGCACAAAUGAUUUGGGGCCUGGCUAAUGCUUAUCAGGCCUUGUUCAAUACUGUCCCACAGAUGAAGAGAGUUUCUGAAAAUGAGGGAGAGAGUCUCCAAGCCGAAAAGGACAGUUUCCAGGAGAGACUCUGAGCCGAGAGGAAGAAUCUCCAGCUGAGCGAGAGAGUCUCCCAGUCGAGAGAAAAGACCUCCAAUGUGAGAGAGAUACAAGAGAUGCCCUCUGAAUCAAGAGAGACUCCCUGCAAUACAGACUUCACAACCUUCGAUUUCAACAAGACACCCUCUAGUCCAAACAAGAUGCCCUCCGGUCCGAGAGGGACAUCCUCAAGUCCAAAUGGGAACUGAGUGAGAUGCCUUCCAGCACGCAAAAUUCGGUCUCCAAAUGGAACUGAACAGAAUUCAGUCUCAUCAAGCCAUGCUUGAAUCUGAACUAAAUAUCCUCAUAAUCAAACAAGAUAGACUCCCAGCCGAGCUGGAGGGUGAGAACAUCAGAACUGACCAACCUGAUCAACCACAGGAGGCACUAGAAUCAAUGUCAGUUGCCCUUGUAAGAGGACAGAAAAUGAAACUAAACUCAGAACAGAAGAGGAGGAGGCUAAAGUAGAGGAAGUCACAGUAAGAGAAGAGGAGGAAAGAGUUCCAGAGGAGUGGCUCAGAGAUCCAGAAGAAGCGCUCCUGAAUCCAGGGGAAGGGCCCUCAACAAGACUGCGGUCACCAACUCCUACAAGGGCAACAAGAAGUCCUGAAAGAGUGAGAGGUGACGCAGAAGAAGAAUGAUUCUGUGUGGGGCCCAGAGCAGCAGCAGGCUUUUGAGCAGAUUAAACAGGAGAUAGCCUGUGCCGUGGCCCUGAGGCCAGUAUGGAUGGGACAGGGUGUAAAGAACAUCCUCUACACUGCUGCUGGAGAGAAAGGUCCCACUUGGAGUUUGUGGCAAAGAGCCUCAGGAGAGAACCGAGGCCGAGCCCUGGGAUUCUGGAGUCAAGCCUACAGGGGGUCUGAAGAGUGCUACACUCCAACUGAGAAGGAGAUCUUAGCUGCAUAUGAAGGGGUUCAGGCUGCUUCCGAAGUAGUCGGUACUGAAACACAGCUCAUUCUGGCACCUCGACUGCCAGUGCUGAACUGGAUGUUCAAGGGAAAGGUUCCCUCCACCCAUCAUGCAACUGAUGCCACUUGGAGUAAGUGGAUUGCGUUGAUUAUGCAAUGAGCUCAGAUGGGGAACCUCAGCCAUCCAGGAAUCCUAGAGGUGGUCAUGGACUGGCCUGAAGGUAGAAAGUUUCAAACAUCACCAGCAGAAGAGGCGUCAUGUGCUAAAGAGGCCCCACCAUACAAUGAACUACCAGAGAAUGAAAAGAAAUAUGCCCUGUUCACAGAUGGAUCGUGUCGUAUUGUGGGGAAGCAUCGCAGAUGGAAAGCUGCUGUGUGGAGCCCCACACGACAAGUUGCAGAGGCCACUGAAGGGAAAGGAGAAUCAAGCCAAUUUGCAGAGGUAAAGGCUGUCCAACUGGCCUUAGAUGUUGCUGAACGGAAGAGGUGGCCAGUGCUCUAUCUUUACACUGACUCAUGGAGGGUAGCAAAUGCCUUAUGGGGGUGGUUACAGCAGUGGGAACAAAAUAACUGGCAAAGAAAGGGUAAACCUAUUUGGACUGCUGAACUGUCUGAACAAAGAAUAUGGUUAUAAAGGUGUGCCAUGUAGAUGCUCAUGUGCCCAAGAGUCGGGCUACUGAAGAGCAGCAAAAUAACCAUCAUGUAGACUGAGCUACCAAAAUUAAGGUGGCUCAAAUAGACUUGGAUUGGCAAAACAAGGGUGAAUUAUUUCUAGCUCUGUGGGCCCAUGAGACUUCGGGUCAUCAAGGAAGAGUAUUUAGUAAAUUAGUUUGUUUCUCCUCAGAUUGUCGCCACUGUUUUUAAUUAUUUCAGGGUCCCCUGUUUCCCUUUUCUGGAGGCGUGGAUUUUGCGAGAUCCCUCCGCCCUGCUGGUCACGGAACCAGGCCGAACCAGCCUGUGAACCAUUGACAGCAGUGCAGCUGGAUGUGAAAGAGAACUUUAGCCUAAGGAACAAUAAAAUGCUUUUGAAUUUGAAACUGUAUGUAAGUGGUUACAAAUCUACAGAGGGAGUUGCUAUUUCAGCUUUACUCUCCCUAGCACUGUUUCUCAUUUGAGAUUUUAUAUUGCUGUCUGCAGAUAUUCUAAAAGAUCAUGAGCACUCUGCGCAGAAUUGAAGUACCAGAGAAAGGCCAAAGAGGAAGUUGGCCAUACUGCACAGGUUUCCAGGUAGAGAGCAACAUUCUCUACUCUCGGCUUGCCUGCAUGUUUGAUUUUGCCCCAUGGCAGAGAAUCUUUGGUGUAAUAAUCCAGGGGACAGAAGACAUUUCUGAUCAGUCAGUGAGAACUCACAUUAAUUUAUCGAAGAAUCCAGGAUUAGAGAGCUCACCAGUGACAAAGAAAAUACGUUUACUAUCUAAAAAGAAAGCAUGAAUUCAAGUCUUGCUUUUUCAGAAAAAGAGUGGGAGUGAACUAAGUCCUAUUUUGUGUUCUACAACAACUGACGUUUGGUUUUCUGAAGCAGACCCUGGGACGGUUGUAGCACCGCAUAGCUGAAAGGCACUAUGUACUUCCAUGAUAAAAGUGGAAGAGAUUACUUCUCAUAAUCUUACCAUCAUCUAUGAAAAUAUUCAUUUUGAUUAUUGAACUUCAAAAGAACAUGGAGGACAAGUAAGCCCAUCUCUCCACCUUCUUCCCAAGAAGGACCAGGUCCCUCUUUCCUUUUUACAUAGAAGCUAACCACCCAUGAAGCAACUGCAGGGUUCUUUUUGGCUUGUGACCUACACUGUACUUAGUUUCCAUCUUGCUGCAUUAUGGAGAUAUUUUCAGGGACAGAGAGUACGAAACACGUGAAAAAUAAAUUCUCAAAAAUAACAGAGGAAACAAGCUUUAUUGUUAUUAUUUGAAAUUUGUGCGUGGUAAAGGUACAUAUUUGAUUGAUUUUCCUACAUUUCCAAGACAGAGUACUUUUUAUUUUUAUCAUCAGCUAAAGCAUUAAGAAUGCCGUGGCACACAGGAAGCUAAAACUAUACACACACAUACACACACACAAACACUUUGAUGUGCAUCUUUCAUACUCGGUGUUAAAGAGACAAAGUUGUAUUUAGCCUCACAGGGAUUUAAAAAGAAAGCAAAACAAUGAAACAAAAACAAGUGAGAAUAAUAUUUCAUCAUGAGUUUCAAGAGAGUGCAAGACUUACGUGUACACAAAACAUAUGAAACAGACUUAAAAAGGUGGAAUGUACAAAAAAACUUUUAAAAAUGAAGAGGAAAGAUAGAGUCUUGGAACUGGAAAGCUGCAGUGUAUCAACUGGUAGAAAUUUCUAAUGUGGGGAUACUGCCAUAUGCUGUGCAGCCUGGGGAACAUUCCCAUGUCAUAAAGCCAAAGCAAAAAGUGUCAUGGUUAAGGCCGUGUUGCUCACAGACAUCAACCGAAGUGCUGUACAUUCAUCAGAAAGAACACAACCAGUGAGGAACCUUCCUACCCCAUAGCACAAAUACCUUUCUCAUACUCUCCACCAACAGUCCAAAGCAAUCACUGCUCACAGUUAUUCAAGAAAAUUGCCAAUGUACAUCAUGAUUUUAUAACUAGCUGUCACCCACAGCUGGAAGUCAUUUCUUCAUAACAAACACAACAUAUUGGGCACUUACAGUCCUCAUUAUGGCAACAACAGAUCCUUAACUGUAAAAAAAAAACUGGUCUAAAAUUGAAAACCCUCUAGCUUUUAAGAACCAGAAGAGCAUUUACUAAUAAAUAACUCUCCAUCUACAUUAGACAAAUGCUUUGCCUCAAGCCAUUUUCCUUUUCUUACACAGCCACAUUGCUGCUAUUCUUACAUUAUACCAAUGUAAGAACCCCCUAUUCGUAGUGGAUUUAUGUGAACAUAUUCCUUUAUUCUGGUCACAAAAUAAUAAAAAUACAGUUAGCUAGUUUGUCCUAAAAUACUCCAAAUUACAUAAGAACCGGUAACCUUUUGAGAUUACUUUUGAGUUGAAAAUUAGUUAAAUGAAGCACAUACUUUUGUCAUUCGUGCUACACUUCUAGUCACAGCAUUCCAGGGAAGUUGAAGCAACAUUUCUGAUCAUACCUGAAAUCUGGCAGCAGAAUGCCUAUAAGCUUUUAAUAGAUGCUAACAACUCAGUAAAUCAAGUAGUGCAGUUUUGAUGUUCACCUAACUGAAUGAGAAAAGAAUCUGCCAGGUUUUUUUUAGAACAGAAUUCCUGCUUUGGUUGUUCUUUGUAACAUUGUAAGUCAAGCAUUCUAGCUGAGCACACUGCCAAAGCAACAUGUUUCUCAGUUUCCUGUGCCAGGAAGAUAAGGUCAGCCUUUGGAAACAAAAUACCCCGUGCCACAAAUUGGCAGCAUUUGUUGUCUAUCAGAAGGAAAUCCAAAUAAGUGCCUUUUUUUCAGGUGCCUUAAGGGUUGCUCUGCUCUUCCUUAAGGGAAGCCUCAAUACAGACUAUUCAAUCUUAAGAAAACAUCCACAUCACUCCUAAUACAUGGUAGCAAGGGAGUUGCAUGCAGAAUUCCAUACAGACAUGCAAUGGGCUGACAGAGGUUACCUAAAAUCCUGAUGAACAAUACUGAGCCGAAUGAACAGAAAUUCAUCUGCAGAAAAACGGAUUCAUGGAUUAGUAUAAUCUUAAGUGCACAUUUUGAUACAUAUAGAUUAGGGUCUGAUUUCUGCAAUUCUCAUACUACCUGGCAAUGAAGGAUUUGGCAAUGUUUCUUCAGUGGGAGGCAUGUAUGUUUAGUAAAAUGUUAUUACAAAAAUUCAAUUUUUGAACUAAAUCUUGUUAGUAUUAUCAUAACUGAUGGUGAUGGUACACUUCUCAUUUACUUAUCUCAAAGAACCUCUUCAUUAAAGAAUGCAUUUAAAAUGCUACAUACGUUUGUUCAUUGAUAAAUUAGCCAUUGAAAGGCAUUCCAGUGCUAGAAAUUAUCAGGUUGUUUAUAAGGACACUUAGAAUAAAAUUAAUUGAUCGUCAUAAAGUUUGAUUGACAACUUUGUCAAAUUUUGAUAGGACAUCUUACUAUAUAAUAUCUGAGGUAACUCACCUUCAGCAUUUUAGGACAAACUCAGUUUAAGCAAAGGUUAUUUUUCUUUUGGUAAGAACAAACUUCAUUUUUAACAUUCCAAAAAUGUUACCACCAGUUUCUUAGCUGCAGUAUACAUAAGUUCAAAUCUCAAGCCUUAUACACAAAAUAUUUGUUCCAAUGAAAUAAGAAAAGGGAUUUUUGUGUGAGUUUGUAAAUUGGAAAUGAGAAGAAGAAACAGUGAUUAAAAAGAGUAGACAAACACUACAUUUAAGAAUUUGGAGGUCUGCAUUUUUACAAGUCAAAUGCAUCUUUACAAAAAAAAAACCAACAUUUUUUUCUUAAAUUUGUUGAAACAAUCUUUACCUUUUUAGAAAUAAAUCUAAUAUUUGUAACAAGUAAUUUAACAAAGGUUUCUUUCAUUUUUGCAAAUAUGCUUAAAACACUCUCCCAUUACUGACCCGAUGCCCUUUCGUUUCAAGGUUUUAAAAAUUAGAAAAGAAACACACUGCCUCCCAAACUGCUUUUGGCAUUGGCAGCACACUCACCAGCUCCUCAAAUGAGGCUUAGAGUGAGCACCACUCCAUCUCUAUUAGCCUACGGUAGUAACUCAUCAUUUGACCACUGGAUUUAGAAUUAAGAAUAAAGCCAAUGCCACUUUAAAAAAGACAAACACUUAAAAAUAACAUUAUAAACAGAACCAAGUCAUAAGAUUGUAAGUUUUCAUUGAUCAUAUAUCAAUAUUCAUUGAUAUAUGAAUGUAUAUAUUAAUAAUUCAGUAAAGAACACAGUAAAGAGAUCUGGCAGGAAGGAAGAGGGACAUUUUUCAGAGUACUACCAUUGUCAUAUGGCAUACGUAUGUUCCAGUUUGCUGAAAUAACCUACAUUUACUUUUUAAAAUAUUUGUGUCAGUCAAACAUACAUACAUACAAACAAAUCAGAAUAAAUCUCACAGUCUUUAUUUUAUCCUCUAACAAAAUUCCCUUUGAUGAAGGACUUCAGGAAUUGGUUCAAAUUCAUUCUUAUUUGCAAUGUAUUUUUUUCUCACGUAUAAAGAAAUAGCUUUGGUAACCCUUGGCUUUCCUAUACAACCUCUGUUUACCACAGUUCCAUUGGUUGUACAGUGUAGGUCCUCCAUUGGGGUACCUCUCUGGCUUUCUGUCCUGUGUGUUGCUGCAUUUUUAUAUUUGUUAAUACAAUGAAUUGCCUUAAGGAAACGUGGCAAUGAACAUAUAUGAAAGGGUGGCAUGCACGAGGUUAAUUGAGUUGACAUUGCAAUAACCCUGAUCCCAAUGAACUAGUUUGGUGUCAAAAAGUCUGCUGUUGUGCAGAAAUUCAGCUCUCACUAAUGUAUCACUACUGUUCAGCUCUUCCAGAGCUUCAGAAACACAGUUUCUGAAAUGUCCUUCCAGUACACAGAGCAAGAGAAAAAGUGAACAACAGGUAUACGAAAAAAUCCUUCAUUAAUCCCACAUGAGCAGGAAAUUUGCAUUGAUUCUCAUAGCACUAAAUGUUGAGUUAAAUCUGACAGUUUGAACUAGACCAAUUUUGUGUGACUUCACCUUUUUUUUUUUUUUUAACUAAAA